rnacentral:rRNA from 1 species
UACGUAGGGGGCAAGCGUUGUCCGGAUUUAUUGGGCGUAAAGAGCGUGUAGGCGGCCAGGUAGGUCUGCUGUGAAAACUCGAGGCUCAACCUCGGAACUGCCUUCGAUACUGCGGGUCUCGAGUCCGGGAGAGGUGAGUGGAAUUCCUAGUGUAGAGGUGAAAUUCGUAGAUAUUAGGAAGAACACCAGUGGCGAAGGCGGCUCACUGGCCCGGUACUGACGCUGAGGCGCGAAAGCGUGGGGAGCAAACAGG